ensembl:lncRNA
CGAAAACUCCACGUUUAAGUGAAGUUCCUCUGUGAAUGUACAGCUACACUCCUGCAGAAUGACACUCCAUGCCCUUCCAUCAUGUGCAUUACACCGUGCAUGUGCACUCUGAAUGAUAUGGGGUGCCUUUUAGUCUGUAAGAGGAUGCAAUGAUGAGGGAAGAACCGUGAAUUCCCAGCGCACGCGCUUCCCGGAAACCAAACCCAGCACAGUAGGGUGGGAACAAAUCGGGAACGAUCGGAUGCCACUCCAUCACCAGAGACGCGCUUUCACACACUUAUUCACAUCUAGGGGAAAUUCAGCAGAUCCAGUCCAUUUACCGGAAACGAGAGAACCCAGAAGAAACCCACAAGGAGAACCAGAUUUUCCACACAGACAGUAACUCGAGCUCCGCAUCCGAGCAGGAAGCUGCGAGACCGCAAAAUACAUUCGUAGGUGUAAUGAACAGGAACAAGGUAGAUUAUUUACUCUAUCGUACUGGUUUCACUCAAAAUCUUUUUGGAGAAGAAACUAGAAGUAGAUACAAAAAGAACAAACUGUCCACUGAAUGUAGCUAGAUAUUAGUCUUUAAGUGUGUGUGUGUGUGUGUGUGUGUGUGUGUAAUAUUUUGUCCCAUAUCAUUCUUAUUAUGCCAUCAAUGAGACCUCAAGAUAUAAUGUAUUAGCCGCUCAUAUGUAAUAUCACAACCAGCAGUCACUGAUUAUUAUUAAUGCACACACAUCAUCAUCACUGUUUUGUUUAUAUGAUCCAAGAAAUCAUGACCAUGAGAAACCAGUACAAAUCCAACACGUCAGUCUGUAUGCACCAAUCCCAUUACAGGCAACGAUUAAUGUGUGUUUUAUUUGGUUCAAACUGAUAAAGGGGACUGAGUUCAUGUGCCGUUGUUUGCACUUAUUCAAGUUGCUUCCAACUAAAAAUUGCUAUCUCAUCAAACCAGACUGGUGUGUGAUGCUGCAGUGAGCUUCUUCCUUGGUAGGUGUACGGCCUCCUAAUUGCACGCUGCAGUCGUGGUCAUCCACUAAAGCUCUAUUUUAGAGUUUAAACACAGGCUUUCAAGGACGCAGGCUGAACUCCACCCUCACUCAACACGUC